GAUGAAGAACGUAGCGAAAUGCGAUAAGUAAUGUGAAUUGCAGAAUUCAGUGAAUCAUCGAAUCUUUGAACGCACAUUGCGCCCGCCAGAAUGCUGGCGGGCAUGCCUGUUCGAGCGUCAUUUCAACCCUCAAGCUCUGCUUGGUGUUGGGGCCCUACGGUUGACGUAGGCCCUUAAAGGUAGUGGCGGACCCUCUCGGAGCCUCCUUUGCGUAGUAACUAACGUCUCGCAUUGGGAUUCGGAGGGACUCUUGCCGUAAAACCCCCAAAUUUUCUAAUGGUUGACCUCAGAUCAGGUAGGAAUACCCGCUGAACUUAAGCAUAUCAAUAAGCGGAGGA
rnacentral:misc_RNA from 1 species